rnacentral:rRNA from 1 species
UACGGAGGGUGCAAGCGUUAUCCGGAUUCACUGGGUUUAAAGGGUGCGUAGGCGGUCAGGUAAGUCCGUGGUGAAAUCCUGCAGCUUAACUGCAGAACUGCCAUGGAUACUAUUUAUCUUGAAUGUCGUGGAGGUUAGCAGAAUAUGUCAUGUAGCGGUGAAAUGCUUAGAUAUGACAUAGAAUACCCAUUGCGAAGGCAGCUAACUACGCGAUAAUUGACGCUGAUGCACGAAAGCGUGGGGAUCAAACAGG